rnacentral:rRNA from 1 species
GACGUAGGUGGCGAGCGUUGUUCGGAAUCACUGGGCAUAAAGCGCACGUAGGCGGCCAAGUCAGUCAGGUGUGAAAUACCUCGGCUCAACCGAGGAACUGCGCCUGAUACUGCUUGGCUUGAGGUCCGGAGGGGAGAGUGGAAUUCCCGGUGUAGCGGUGAAAUGCGCAGAUAGUCGGGAAGAACACCCGUGGCGAAGGCGGCUCUCUGGGACGGUACUGACGCUGAGACGCGAAAGCGUGGGGAGCGAACAGG